rnacentral:rRNA from 1 species
GACGAACGCUGGCGGCGUGCCUAACACAUGCAAGUCGAGCGAGUGGAGUUCUUCGGAACAAAGCUAGCGGCGGACGGGUGAGUAACACGUGGGCAACCUGCCUCAUAGAGGGGAAUAGCCUCCCGAAAGGGAGAUUAAUACCGCAUAAGAUUGUAGCUUCGCAUGAAGUAGCAAUUAAAGGAGCAAUCCGCUAUGAGAUGGGCCCGCGGCGCAUUAGCUAGUUGGUGAGGUAACGGCCCACCAAGGCGACGAUGCGUAGCCGACCUGAGAGGGUGAUCGGCAACAUUGGGACUGAUACACGGCCCAGACGCCUACGGGAGGCAGCAGUGGGGAAUAUUGCACAAUGGGGGAAACCCUGAUGCAGCAACGCCGCGUGAGUGAUGACGGCCUUCGGGUUGUAAAGCUCUGUCUUCAGGGACGAUAAUGACGGUACCUGAGGAGGAAGCCACGGCUAACUACGUGCCAGCCGCCGCGGUAAGAC